rnacentral:rRNA from 1 species
AGCGAACGCUGGCGGCGGGCUUAACACAUGCAAGUCGAACGUGAAAGUGUAGCAAUACAUGAGUAAAGUGGCGUACGGGUGAGUAACGCGUAGGUAAUCUACCUCUUAGUUCGGAAUAACCUGCCGAAAGGCGGGCUAAUACUGGAUGAGAUACACGGGACAUAGAGUUCUGUGUAAGAAAGGGAGCUCGCAAGAGCCCUCGCUAGGAGAUGAGCCUGCGUCCCAUCAGCUAGUUGGUAAGGUAACGGCUUACCAAGGCAAUGACGGGUAGCUGGUCUGAGAGGACGAUCAGCCACACUGGAACUGAAACACGGUCCAGACUCCUACGGGAGGCAGCAGUGGGGAAUCUUGCGCAAUGGACGAAAGUCUGACGCAGCCACGCCGUGUGAGUGAAGAAGGCCUUCGGGUUGUAAAGCUCUGUUGAGCGGGACGAAGGGUGUGGGGUGAAUAGCCUAGCACUUUGACGGUACCGCUAUAGAAAGCACCGGCUAACCUCGUGCCAGCAGCCGCCGUAA